ACUGGAAUCCCCUGCCCCGAGGUCGAACCUUCUGGAAAAAGGAGAAAAAGAGCUGUAAGACAGGUCAAGCCAGUGCAUCUGGAUACCGGUCAGUGCUGCAGAAGCGAAGUGACCCGGGCCUUACUGAACACCUCCCGGAGGUCCUGGUACACCGCGGGGCUGGCGGAAAGUUCCGGGGCAAUUUCCAAGCCCCCAGGAAGACGUCCCAGGGCAGGCAGAGCUAACUUCAGGCAAUGAGUGUGGCAGGACGGGCUCCAGCCCACAAUGGCACCAGUAGCCCAGUCAAUAAAGGGAUUGUGUCGCUGGAGCCAAGAAAAUCUCUUUUCACUUUCUCCACUGCAGGCCCGUCGAUGUGGAUGGGGUCGUGCUCCCUCUUUCGUCUCCUGAAGUCCACGAUCAGCUCCUUCCUUUUGGAGUUUAUGUCCGUAAACACUCCAGCCAGCUGGUCUGCGCAUGCUCUGAGGAUGUGUCUAAGGAUGCAUUCUGGGCCGGCAGCCUAGCGAGCGAUAAUUAACACGCUUAAAUGUUUUAGGUUGGCCACAGAGAAUGUGAGCCCACAGUUCUCGGGAGCAGCCUGCGUCGGUGGCAUUGUUAUCUUCAAAAGGGGACAAGGUGUUUAUCUUGUCGGAUGGCAAGACGUUGGUGUCCUUAAUUAAUGUGACGGCUUUUCCCUUUGUAAUGAUUGUCUGGAGUCCUUGCCACAUAUGGCUCAUGUCUGAGCCAUUGAAAUGCGACUCCAAUCCCCAGUAGAAGCAAUCCUUCAUAGGAAUCAAUGGUAUUCUACAGUAUUUCAGUUACAUGUUUCAAGUACAAAAUGACAUGUAUUUGUUGUAGUGGGGACAGUAACAUUAGUAAUUUCCCAAAAUGGUACAUACAAUAAAUUGUUUUUAUGUGUUUUUUAAAUUUGAUUAUUUUGUUUAGCUCACAUACUAUAAUUGUAAAGUAUUUAUUAAGGUGACUGUAAUAGAAUAAAUCUAACUAAUGAGAGAGAGCGCGAGGUGGGACAUAGAUGAGGUUUUCAUAGACCAGUAUACUCUGCACUGGUUGGUUGGUGACAGCUCACAUGGGUCAUGUUGUCUGGCGCAACCACCUGUCAAUCACAAUCACAACGUACCAGGUUACCACUUGCGCGAUGUCCACCUGUUAGUUGUCAUGGCGGAAAAAUCAGUGAUGAGGCCUUCUUGCUGCCCGUCUCCGCAUGAUUGAAGAAGGCAAUGAGCUCCAUCGUUUUUUUUUUAAAUGGCGGGUGGGGAAGCGAAACCUACUGUGAUAGGGGGCGACAAGCCGUGUGGGUAAACUACUUUUUUCACCCGACCUGUCCAACCUAUCAUCUCUAAAAUGUAAAUAAAACAAUAUAAAGAGUUUGUAUAAUGUGUCAUCAGUCAGUUGUACAUCUGGAUUGCCUCUUCCACCUGUAAACCAACCCCUCUAAAUCAGAGGUGCGGGGCUGCCUUAAUCGACAUCCACUGGGAACAGCAGGUUAUAAACUGCCUUGCUCAGGGGCAAAACGACAUACUUUUAUUCUGUCAGCUCGGGGAUUCGAUACUGACCCAACGCUAAAGUUAUCUUCAGAAGUAAACAGCUGCUUUUGAGUGAUGAUGGCUUGCAGUGAUGAUGCAAAAAAAUGAAUACAUUCAGUUGAAUAAUUGACUAGGUAUCCCCCUUACCGUUUUCUUAUUAAUCUGUGAGAGAAAGUGCUACACCUGGUGGAGAGAGGCUAUACGACACAGAAUGAGUUGUAUAAUGUACGUUACGUAACGUAUAGCGUCAGAGGGGUCAGUUUUUAAAACUUUUCUCCAAUAGUAUCGGGCCAUUACCAUGUCAAUCAACGCUUGACUAUAUGCGUAGUUCAUUUUUGAUGCCAACACAGUCCCAUUAGUUUUCAUUGCUGCCUCGUUUGAAUGCCGCGGUUGCGAAAAUUUGUACGGAAUGGGGUUAGUCAACAGUAGCUAGCUAGCAUAAUCAUUAGAAAAGUAAUCAUUCAUCUGCUAAGACCUAGCAACUGACAUAAAUCCCAUGAUUUAUUGUUCACCCAGUUAGAACUGGCGUUUUAGUCGAACCACGACUGAAGGUAGAAAAUAAUUUGGUUGGCUUUGACAUUCUGUGAAUGUGUAUCUACUGCCUUUUGUUUAAUGUAAACCCUAUCUAAACCUUUUACAAUUGGCUGUCCCCACUCUCCAGGCUGCAAUCCACUCCCAGUUAGAUGGGGUCUGUUCAGGCCUCUGUCAACUCCACAAUGCCCUGGGGGACAUGAAGGACAUCCAGAACUCUCUGGCAGAAGUCAGCAAUGACUAGAGGCAAGGCAUCAACACCAUUGAACGUGCAGUAUGUAAAAUAUGCUGGGAUGCAACACAGUCAGCUAACCUCAGCCAUGGAAGAAUAUAUUUUCAGGUAUGUUCUGCUGCACCCAUUACAUGCAACUUGGUUGGGAACUAUUAUUGUUGGCUUGCAUUGCAUUUGAUGUGAGACUGUAUUGCUACAUUGUAUUAGUGUAUUGUCCCUCAACUGGGUCCUCAAUUAAUACUUACAAAAGUAUGUCUGUACUGCUCUCGGUGACUCAUGUAUAGGGCCCUGUGUUUUGGUUAACAGUUUCGCUAAGCAGCUACCCUCAAACAACUUGUUUGAAGGUGAAAUCACAGUAGGAGAAAACCUAAGAUUUUAGUUACAGCAGCACACUGACAUAAAAGGCAAGGGGUUGAAUGGGCCAACAUGAAGGGUGACUACCUCAUGAAGCUGGUUGAGAGAAUGCCAAGAGUGUGCAAAGCUGUCAAGGCAAAGGGUGACUGAAGAAUCUCAACUAUCAAAUAUAUUUUGAUUUAACACUUGUUUUGUUUACUUCAUGAUUCCAUAUGUGUUAUUUCAUAGUUUUGAUGUCUUCACUAUUAUUCUACAAUGUAUAAAAUAGUCAAAAUAAAGAAAAACCCAUGAAUGAGUAGGUGUGUCCAAACUGGUACUGUAACUCCAAAUAAAACAUUUGAACCCAUUAUA